GACGAACGCUGGCGGCGUGCUUAACACAUGCAAGUCGAACGGACGAGUGAGAUAAGUUUACUUAACUCACAAGUUAGUGGCGGACGGGUGAGUAACACGUGGAUAAUCUACCUGCAACACCGGGAUAACGCUGUGAAAACGGUGCUAAUACCGGAUACGUUCCCUUGUGCGCAUGUAUGAGGGAAGAAAGCUCAGGCGGUUGCAGAUGAGUCCGCGGCUGAUUAGCUAGUUGGUGAGGUAAAGGCUCACCAAGGCGAUGAUCAGUAGCCGGCCUGAGAGGGUGAACGGCCACACUGGGACUGAGACACGGCCCAGACUCCUACGGGAGGCAGCAGUGGGGAAUCUUCCGCAAUGGGCGCAAGCCUGACGGAGCAACGCCGCGUGGGUGAAGAAGGCCUUCGGUGUAAGCCCUGUCUUAUGGGAAGAAGUCAGUGACGGUACCAUAGGAGGAAGCCACGGCUAACUACGUGCCAGAAGACCGACGGUAAAAAGACGUAACUCU
rnacentral:rRNA from 1 species